CCCCUCCCUCCCAUUACCACGCUACCCUCAGCUGCCGCAGUCUCAGCCUUUCGACAAGAUCGUAGACUCCUCCCAUCCGUCUCACACUCUAUAUCAUCUUACAAACAUUGGUUAGUGAUUGGUUUGUUUGAUUUUUAGAUGGAACUGGACAAAAAACUUGAAAUGGAAGACCCUGAGAAAAAGAAGAAGAAUGAAGAAAAGAAGGAGAUUUAGCUAAGGCCCUUGUAAUGGGCUUUCAAGUGUUGUUGAAAUAAAAGGCCAACGGGUUCAAGUGGAGCUUGCAUCUCAAAUGAAUGUUGUCACAGACAUGUUUUAUUUUGAGCAACACUUAAGUUUGUGUGAUUUAGUGACAUUACUUACAUACAGUUUUUUAAGAAUAUCUUAGAACCGUUAAAUUCUCAAAUUGAAGUUAAACAUGUGGUAUUAACUCUAUAAUGCUUGUUUUAUUUGAGCAAUUGACCGCAAUUUUAUCUCGGAUAAUGUGGCCAUUUCAA